rnacentral:rRNA from 1 species
UAACGACUCUCGGCAACGGAUAUCUCGGCUCUCGCAUCGAUGAAGAACGUAGCGAACUGCGAUACUUGGUGUGAAUUGCAGAAUCCCGUGAACCAUCGAGUCUUUGAACGCAAGUUGCGCCCGAAGCUUGCUAGGGCACGUUUGCCUGGGUGUCACACACGGCGUUGCCCCUAACCCCUCGCCUUGAAUUGGGCGGGCGGGACUUGGGUGCGUAUGUUGGCCUCCCGAGACGACUUCGUCCCGGUUGGCCCAAAAUCGAGCGUUGGAGCGAUCAGCACCACGACAUUCGGUGGUUGAUGAAACCCCAGUGAUCAAUGUCGCGCGUGUCGCUCAUGCAAUCGCUCCAUGAAUCUACUUUUCACCAACGCGACCCCAGGUCAAGCGGGGCUACCCGCUGAGUUUAAGCAUAUCAAUAAGCGGAGGAAAAGAAACUAACAAGGAUUCCCCUAGUAACGGCGAGCGAACCGGGAAGAGCCC